GAUUUUAUUUUAUUUUAUUUUUUUAUUUUUUGAAAACCAUAGAGAAUCUAGGAGGAGGCACAUUCCAUGACCCAGGUGAUCCUACACAUCUAGAUAUGCAACAAGGGGCAGAAAGAUGAAGAGGAAGUUGGAUUGCUUGCUGAAUAAGCAGAGAAAUUUAAAGUGUAUUUACUCUUGAAUAUGUUCAUAUAACUAUACAGAUGUAAACAUAUACAAUGCUCUUUGCCAAAUUUACUCCAUCACCCUCUCUUAUUUUCCUUUCCAUCUCAUCAAAUCUCUUCUCAAAUUCCAGGUUCGCCUCCUAUUAUCACACCAUUUUUCUCCUGUCACCCCCUGCAUUUAAUAAUGCUGCUGAAUGAGCAUGUUUUGGGAGCCAUUAUUUACUUGAGCAGGAUCAAUGUAUCAGUAACUGUGCUCAUGAUCAUCACAUAAGUUAUCAUACAUCAUAUGUAAGAUAACUCCCAGCGCUGCAGCAUUUAACUUCCUGUAGCUCCUUUGAGAGGCAGCUUGGGCCUUUGUCCAGUGAGAACCAUUCCUUAGAGAAAGUUACUCGGACUCAGAUUUAGGGAAAAAAGCCAUAAACAACAGCAGCAACAAAAACCUAGUAGAGAACCUUGUUAAGUAUAUUUCCUGAUAGAAUAUUUGGAAUCAUUGUGUGUAUAAUUCAGAAAUUCAGAAGCAUAUUGGAGGGAAUAAAUUAUAUAAUAGUUUAGCACUAUGAUAUACUAGAAAAGAGGUUUGUAAAUGUGAAUUUAUAGGAAUAACCCGUAUUUAGAGAUAAAAUAUUCAUGCAUGUCAGUGUUGUUUCUGUUCACAGUCUUUGAUAAAAUAGUACCACUAUUAGUAAGGUAAGUUCACUGGUUUGAGCACCUAAUUUAUUUCUAGUAGAAAAUUAAGAACCUGAUGCAAAAUAACUGUCAGAAAAGCAGUGAAUUUUUAAGUUGUUCUUGGAUCACAUACUGGUAACAAUGAUAGAGAACUCUCAGCACUUAUUAGACAUCAAGCAGAGAUUAAUUUCUCAAAGUUACUAUUAUGAAUUAGCCAUCUAUUUUCAAGUGGGAGCAUUCUACCAUGGUAAUUAUGGAGUCAUAACACAUUAAUAACCCUUAAUAACCCUUGUUAAAAGCAGGGUGCAUUUUAAGCUGAAUGCUAUUAUUAACAAAUUAUGUGUAUUCUUAAGUGCUAAGACUCUACACUUUUACAUUAAACACAGUUAAACAGAACUUGGGUUUACAUUCUAUUCACUGUAUGCAUCUUGAAAAGUAUUCCUUUUUUUAUGUUGGAGGUAGAAUUGCCUAAACAGUGUUAUUCAGCUUUCAUAGUUAAUCAUUUAAAGUUCUCAAUAUACAUAUUCAGGCCUGACUACAAAAGAGUCUCAUUCCUGAAGAAUAUAUGUAUAUGUCUGUAUACUCAAGUGUGUGUGAUUUCUUCUCUCUAUAGUCUUCCUGCUUCCCUUUUCUGAGAGUGGGGGUUGUAGGGAUGUACUACAAUUCCCACAUACAAUCUGCUUAUUUUAAAAGGAUCUAUCCCUUAGAUCUUUGAAACUAAUCUUCAUAGUUGUAGAGAAGCUAAUGUGAAAAGAUGUUUUAAGAAGGAAUCAACCUGGAUCACUGUCCAUUCAGAGACCAUCAUUGCUGACUUAAGUGAGUGACUGCAGGAGAUCAAGGACAUUCCUGGGAUCCAUUGGCCUCAUCUUGUAGAACAGAGUACAAGGGAUGCUUUCUGAGUAGUCUGCCUCCAGCUUAAGUUACACAAACAAACUUUCAGAUUGAUGGUGCAUAGCUCUUUGGGGAAAGUGGUAUUUCUAUGCUGGGAACUUCUACUAAAAGCCUUGCCUCCCUUUCCCUUCAUAUGAAAUAUACCCAGGCUCAACAGAAGUUGAUGAACCUCUUGGCUUGAGCAUAGCAUGGUUAAUCAUUUAAAUAAUAUUUUACUUGGAACAAAGGCUAGUGCUUGAAAUUUUGAAACUGUAUUUCAUGGAAAGGUUUUAACUUAAAAGAGAACAGCAAAAUGUUACCAGAUAAAUAUGACAGAAACUGCAUCCCAUUACCUUUUUUCUCUUAUAUACUAUAAAUGGAAUCAAUCAUACAUAUUUGAAUUGUAUGUUUUAUAAAAUUAUUUAACUUUAAGGCAAGCCUUUUUCAUAAAUAUUCAUUUAUGUGUUUACCCUUUUUACAAUCUGUAUUGUGAGGUAAUGUUUUCUUUUGAAUUUUUCAAAAACAGUUGAAGGAUCUCAAUGUGAUAUAAGAAAAUGCAACUUAGACAUAGAUACCUUUCUGAUAAUGGAAUCCAAGAGUACAUGUGUAAUAUUCAUGAAGUUAAUAUGAGCAAUAAAACACAUUUGAAACUUUAAAAGAUUUGAACAUCUUCUGAGCCCAUAUAAAACACAUUGUCAUCAUACCAUUAGAAAAAGCAGGUAUUUUCUAUAACUUACUUCAGAUAUUUUUUUUCUAGAAUCAUUAUUUAUUCAAAUAACAUAAUUAUUCAGCACCUUGCUGCCAGUGUGAUUGCCUCUGUAGACUAAUUAUUCUUUACUUGAGUAUUUAAAUUAUGAGUUUUAGAAGAAUGACUUCAGCUUUGGACAUUAUUUGUAGAAGCUUCCCUACAUCAGUUAAGUCUAUCGGUUAAAUAUAUCUGAGUGCAUCACUGACUUAGUGGUGUUUGAGAUCAAGUUGAAAAUCAUCAUCCAUAUAUAUAAAUGACAUGAGAACAAAGACAAAGACCUGCUCACACUGC
rnacentral:lncRNA from 1 species